GGUUGGUGCAAAAGUAACUGCGGUUUUUGCCAUUGCUUUCAAUGGGAAAAACCACAAUUACUUUUGUACCAAUC
rnacentral:miRNA from 1 species